rnacentral:rRNA from 1 species
UACGUAGGGUGCAAGCGUUAAUCGGAAUUAUUGGGCGUAAAGCGUGCGCAGGCGGUUGUAUAAGAUAGAUGUGAAAUCCUUGGGCUCAACCGUGAGAACUGCAUUUAUGACUGUAUAACUAGAGUGUGUCAGAGGGGGUAGAAGUUCCACGUGUGAGCAGUGAAAUGACGUAGAGAUGUGGAGGAAUACCGAUGGCGAAGGCAGCCCCCUGGGAUCAA